rnacentral:SRP_RNA from 1 species
GCAGACCCCUCGUGUGGCGUCAUCCUCGUGAACCUCCCCAGGGCCGGAAGGCAGCAAGGAUAAGCGGGCUCUGGCGGGUGCGCGAGGGGUCCUCUUG